GCCUGUGCUUCCUCCGCACUUGAUUUCCUCCCCGACCUCAUCACCUGAAUCUCACAGUGCCUUUAUUAUUUAUACGCAGUCUGACCUUCAGAGCCUCCCGAGGUUUGUUUAUGUUCUCUCAUGGACUGUUUAUCACCUCCCUCCAUCUUCACUUCCACACUUCCGUCACCAUCAUCCCAGUCGGAAACGAACCGGGUGACACCGGCUGAGGACGCCGCAUCACAACACUGGAACACAAUACAGAAGUGUGUCAGUAUCAGCCUGAGACUUCCACAGAAACACACACGGAUCACAUGGAAGCGGAUGUAAACACACAGCGUUCAACUCAGCUGGACGACAGGUCAAUGCUGUCCGGUGAUCCCUCCCUCUCAAACUUAUCACUGAGGACCACUUAUGGGGCAGUUAUGAGUGAGGAGGAGUCUUGAACAAGGACGUAAUGGUAGGGAUUGAAACAGGAGGGAAGAACAGGACUCAUUAGUUC